GACGAACGCUGGCGGCGUGCCUAAUACAUGCAAGUAGGACGCAGUUGCGAACGGGUGAGUAACGCGUAGGUCCCUACCUAUUAGAGGGGAGUAACUAUUGGAAACGAUAGCUAAUUCCGCUUUCUAGUCUAUGGACCUGCGUUGUAUUAGCUAGUCGGUAGGGUAAUGGCCUACCUAGGCAACGAUACAUAGCCGACCGGAGAGGGUGAACGGCCACACUGGGACUGAGACACGGCCCAGACGCCUACGGGAGGCAGCAGUAGGGAAUCUUCGGCAAUGGGGGGAACCCUGACCGAGCAACGCCGCGUGAGUGAAGAAGGUUUUCGGGUCGUAAAGCUCUGUUGUUAAGGAAGCGGUACUUAACCAGAAAGGGACGGCUAACUACGUGCCAGCAGCCGCGGUAAUAC
rnacentral:rRNA from 1 species